AUUGUUUAUUAGAUUUAUCCAACCACGAAUUGCUGGGUAGAAACAUUCCCGGCAGAUGGGCAUUAUGGCGUGAAAGGGCGUGACGUUAACCAUUUUGUUGUGAACUUUGUUAUCGUGCGCACACGCGCUCAUUACCAAGUCAAGGAAGUUAUAAUGCGACGUCGAUGAUGGCUGACCACCAAGUGUUGAGAUUACUGGAGGAGUGUGGCGUUAGUGUCCCUAACGGACGUUUUCUGAGAUAAUGAGAUCGACAUGCAGGCAAUGAAGGUGCUGACCAAGGCAGAUAAUUUGCAACUUAUUCCCGAAAUCAUCCAUCGACACUCAACGGGAUAUCAUAAUGCCACACUACCUG